rnacentral:rRNA from 1 species
UAAGUGACUAAGCGUACACGGUGGAUGCCUUGGCAGUCAGAGGCGACUGAAAACGUAGUAACUUGCGAUAAGCCCAGAUUAGGUAGUAACAACCAUUUGAGUCUGGGAUCUGAAUGGGGAAACCCACGUGCAUAAGCACGUAUCCUUCCUGAAAACAUACGUGGUAAUGGAGGCGAACCGGGGGAACUGAAACAUCUAAGUAGACCCCGAGGAAAAGAAAUCAACCGAGAUUCGAAAGUAGCGGCGAGCGAAAUUGGACUAGCCUUAAGCUUUACACGGUUAGACGAACGGUCUGGAAAGUCCGACGAUACAGGUGUAGUCCCGUAGUUGACGACGUGUGUUCAGUGAAAUCGAGUAGGGGCGGGACACGUGAUAAUCCUGUCUGAAUAUGGGGGGACCAUCCUCCAAGGCUAAAUACUACUGACUGACCGAUAGUGAACCAGUACCGUGGAGGGAAAGGCGAAAAAGCCCUGUGAGGGAGAGUGAAAUAGAAACCUGAAACCGUGUACGUACAAGCAGUAGGAGCAGGCUUUGUCCUGUGACUGCGUACCUUUUUGUAUAAUGGGUCAGCGACUUACAUUCAGUGGCAAGGUUAACCAUCUAGGGGGCCGUAGGGGAAACCGAGUCUUAACUGGGGCGUUCAGUCUCUGGAUAUAGACCCGAAACCAGGUGAUCUAGCCAUGGGCAGGUUGAAGGUUGAGUAACAUCAACUGGAGGACCGAACCGACUAAUGUUGAAAAAUUAGCGGAUGACUUGUGGCUAGGGGUGAAAGGCCAAUCAAACCUGGAGAUAGCUGGUUCUCCCCGAAAGCUAUUUAGGUAGCGCCUCGGACGAAUACUACUGGGGGUAGAGCACUGUUAAGGCUAGGGGGUCAUCCCGACUUACCAACCCUUUGCAAACUCCGAAUACCAGUAAGUACUAUCCGGGAGACACACGGCGGGUGCUAACGUCCGUCGUGGAGAGGGAAACAACCCAGACCGCCAGCUAAGGUCGCCAAAUUACUACUAAAGUGGGAAACGAUGUGGGAAGGCUCAGACAGCCAGGAUGUUGGCUUAGAAGCAGCCAUCAUUUAAAGAAAGCGUAAUAGCUCACUGGGUCGAGUCGGCCUGCGCGGAAGAUGUAACGGGGCUAAGUAGUAAACCGAAGCUGCGGCAAUAUACUUUUGUAUAUUGGGUAGGGGAGCGUUCUGUAAGCGGUUGAAGGUGUGUGGUAACGCAUGCUGGACGUAUCAGAAGUGCGAAUGCUGACAUGAGUAACGAUAAAGGGGGUGAAAAACCUCCUCGCCGGAAGACCAAGGGUUCCUGUCCAACGUUAAUCGGGGCAGGGUAAGUCGACCCUAAGGCGAGGCCGAAAGGGCGUAGUCGAUGGGAAACGGGUUAAUAUUCCCGUACUUCUUACAAUUGCGAUGGGGGACGGAGAAGGCUAGGUGGGCCUGGCGACGGUUGUCCAGGUUCAAGUGCGUAGGCUUAAGAGUUAGGUAAAUCCGGCUCUUUUUAAGGCUGAGACACGACGUCGAGCACCUACGGGUGUGAAGUCAUUGAUGCCAUGCUUCCAGGAAAAGCCUCUAAGCUUCAGAUUGUAAGGAAUCGUACCCCAAACCGACACAGGUGGUCGGGUAGAGAAUACAAGGCGCUUGAGAGAACUCGGGUGAAGGAACUAGGCAAAAUGGUACCGUAACUUCGGGAGAAGGUACGCUCUCGACGGUGAAGUCCCUUGCGGAUGGAGCUAUUGAGAGUCGCAGAUACCAGGUGGCUUGCAACUGUUUAUUAAAACACAGCACUGUGCAAAAUCGUAAGAUGACGUAUACGGUGUGACGCCUGCCCGGUGCCGGAAGGUUAAUUGAUGGGGUUAGACUUCGGUCGAAGCUCUUGAUCGAAGCCCCGGUAAACGGCGGCCGUAACUAUAACGGUCCUAAGGUAGCGAAAUUUCCUUGUCGGUAAGUUCCGACCUGCACGAAUGGCGUAAUGAUGGCCACGCUGUCUCCACCGAGACUCAGUGAAAUUGAAAUCGCUGUGAAGAUGCAGUGUACCCGCGGCUAGACGGAAAGACCCCGUGAACCUUUACUACAGCUUGGCACUGAACAUUGACCCUACAUGUGUAGGAUAGGUGGGAGGCUUUGAAGCACGUAACGCCAGUAUGUGUGAGCCGUCCUUGAAAUACCACCCUUGUAGUGUUGAUGUUCUAACGUCGACCCCCUAAUCGGGUUGCGGAACAGUGCCUGGUGGGGUAGUUUGACUGGGCGGUCUCCUCCCAAGAGUAACGGAGGAGCCACGAAGGUGGGC